rnacentral:rRNA from 1 species
UGGCGGCGAUAGCGCGGUGGUCCCACCUGACCCCAUGCCGAACUCAGAAGUGAAACGCCGUAGCGCCGAUGGUAGUGUGGGGUCUCCCCAUGCGAGAGUAGGGAACUGCCAGAUA